rnacentral:rRNA from 1 species
GAGUUUGAUCGUGGCUCAGAGUGAACGCUGGCGGCAGGCCUAACACAUGCAAGUCGAGCGGCAGCACGGGUAGCAAUACCUGGUGGCGAGCGGCGGACGGGUGAGGAAUACAUCGGAAUCUGCCUCGUCGUGGGGGAUAACGUAGGGAAACUUACGCUAAUACCGCAUACGACCGAGAGGUGAAAGCGGGGGAUCGCAAGACCUCGCGCGAUGAGAUGAGCCGAUGUCGGAUUAGCUAGUUGGCGGGGUAAAGGCCCACCAAGGCGACGAUCCGUAGCUGGUCUGAGAGGAUGAUCAGCCACACUGGAACUGAGACACGGUCCAGACUCCUACGGGAGGCAGCAGUGGGGAAUAUUGGACAAUGGGCGCAAGCCUGAUCCAGCCAUGCCGCGUGGGUGAAGAAGG